AAGCUCGUAGUUGAAUUUCGGGGUUAGUAGGUUGGUCAUGCCUCCGGUAUGUACUGGUCUCACUGAUUCCUCCUUCCUGAUGAACCGUAAUGCCAUUAAUUUGGUGUUGCGGGGAAUUUGGACUGUUACUUUGAAAAAAUUAGAGUGUUUAAAGCAAGCUAACGCUUGAAUACAUUAGCAUGGAAUAAUGAAAUAGGACGUUCGACCCUAUUUUGUUGGUUUCUAGGAUUGACGUAAUGAUUAAUAGGGAUAGUUGGG
rnacentral:rRNA from 1 species